GUAAUUUUUUUUCUUGACCCUACAGGAUGCCCGGUGGUAACCAGUCUUCCAUGUGGCUGAACAGAUGCCAGUGUACCCAAAUUCUGAGACACAACUGGAUGUUCUUUUCUUCUGCUUUUAAGAUUCCCAAUUCGAGAUGAUGUGCAGUUCAUGUUAGAUUUGCUAUUUCUACAGUUACAGUGAUGUAGAAGAGUCCAGUUAUGUUAUGGGGCAGUAGUUAAACAAGAAGGACGGAGAGAUGUGUGCCGUGUUGAAGUAGUGGGUGGCCCUCCUGCCCGGCACUUCUAAAAUCCUCCAUCUCAACCUCUGCUCUGAUCUGCUGUGCCUUUGCCAAGUGAUCACGAGUUAAUUGCAGUGGUGCCCCCCUGUGUCUCCAUCGUCUGUUACAUCAACUCCAACUGCCUGUGAUGCCAGAGAGAAGAAAAGUUCACAAGAUGUCCUGAAAUGGAAUUGUGAUUGGACUGAGACGGACGCAAUUAUGUAUGCUGUGAUGUGCAGAGCAGGCUGUGUGGACUUUGGCUUGGGAACCCCAGAGGUUUAUUAUCUCCAACAUCUUUCAAAGGUGCAAGUUUGUCUUUGUCCCUGGCCAUUUGACCAGGCAGUGUAUUUAUUACAAAGGACAAAGACCCCUCCAUUUGCUUCUUAUUUACUUUUAUAAUGCCCUCAAUUUUCUUUGUCACUGUAUGUUUUUGUAGAGCAAUUUGAGCUACACUUGUAAGAAAAGGUGAUAUAGAAAUAUUAUUACUGAUUUUAAGGGACAGAUCAGGAAAAAUGUCAGUUUAAAUAGAACACAUUUUUUAUGGAAUAUUGCUGGAUAAUAACUCUGACUCUGAGUAGUAUCUUGUUCAUAAAACUAAAAUAGCAUUUUUCCUUUUUUUGACAAAUUUAAUGAUUCACUUUUAAUGUUCACAACCUUGGCUAACAUUUUUUUUAAAGAUCUGUAAAUAUGUUUGUGUUCCCUUUCCCUAA